AAAGCAAUGCUGGAUACUGACAUCCUUUAUUUUGCCUCACAGUGGGUGCAGUAUAGGCAGCAGCAGUGCAAUCAUCUGGAAACUGCCCCGCUACUGGGCCUCAGCCCAGGCCUGAAGGCACCAGAUUAAGGUGAAGAGGCUAAUUCAGUCUCCAGGGAUGUUUCCAACCCUAGCUUUG
rnacentral:sRNA from 1 species